rnacentral:piRNA from 1 species
UAGGUAAAAGCUAUGACUAUGGUAUCGAUA